rnacentral:snRNA from 1 species
GUACUCGCUUCGGCGGUACAUAUACUAAAGUUGGAAUGAUACAGAAAAGAUUAGCACGCACCCUGAGCAAGGAUGACAUACAAAAUCGUAAAGCAAUCCAUAUUUCG